rnacentral:rRNA from 1 species
AUCCAGCCAUGCCGCGUGCAGGAUGAAGGCCUUCGGGUUGUAAACUGCUUUUGUACGGAACGAAACGGCCUUUUCUAAUAAAGAGGGCUAAUGACGGUACCGUAAGAAUAAGCACCGGCUAACUACGUGCCAGCAGCCGCGGUAAUACGUAGGGUGCAAGCGUUAAUCGGAAUUACUGGGCGUAAAGCGUGCGCAGGCGGUUAUGUAAGACAGUUGUGAAAUCCCCGGGCUCAACCUGGGAACUGCAUCUGUGACUGCAUAGCUAGAGUACGGUAGAGGGGGAUGGAAUUCCGCGUGUAGCAGUGAAAUGCGUAGAUAUGCGGAGGAACACCGAUGGCGAAGGCAAUCCCCUGGACCUGUACUGACGCUCAUGCACGAAAGCGUGGGGAGCAAACAGGAUUAGAUACCCUG